rnacentral:tRNA from 1 species
AUUUAUGUAGUUUAAAAAACAUUGUGUUUUCAUCACAAAAAUAAAUAAUUAACUUAUUUCAUAAAUU